rnacentral:tRNA from 1 species
GGGUGAUUAGCUCAGUCAGGUAGAGCGGCGCAUAUUUCGGUAUUUGUUGUGUGUUUUCCAUAGUUUAUUUAAGGUUAGUUAGAUAUGCGCAGGUCGCGGCGUUCAAGUCCCGCAUUACCCA